AUAAGCCAUCGAGAGAAAGAGGCUGACAGAAAGAGAAGUGAGCACGCGGCGAGGACGGCAUACAUGCUAUGUCGUUCGUCGCGCCGUGUGCUCACUCUCUUCUGUCAAUCUCUCGAGAGCCUCUCCGCAUCUACAGAAACGCCGCCGUCGUCGUCGUCGUCGUCGUCUAACCAGCGACAACACAAAAUCAGGGUUCAGAAGUUGCGGAACCACCAAAGCGAAGAGGGACAAACCAACCCUCCAAGCACGAAUGAAGACAGAAGAACAAGAAAGAGAGAGAUAGAGGGGGCUUCGUUGUUCUUGGAUCCGGUGAGCGCUCGUCGCCGUACAGGGAACGAAAGGAGGAGGUGCUGCUGAGACUGUCCUUUCUUUCUUUCUUUCUCUCCCUCCCUCCUUCCCUGCCUGUGCGUGUGUGUGCGCCCUCUUGGUGAUUGGUUUUUGGAGCAGAGGAGAUGGAUGGGAUAGAUAGGCGG
rnacentral:misc_RNA from 1 species